GAGAAAUGUGAUUUUUAGAAAAUUUUUUGAUAGCCUUAAAAAUAUAUUUUCAUAUUUAUUUAUAAAUUUUAAAGCUUAAAAAAUAGUGUAGAUCAAUAGAUCUAUGAAAACUUGAAAAUCUUGAAAAUGGACUGUAAAAAAAUGCGUUACAAAAUAUAUUAUUUUCAAAACUUGAAAUCCCUUUUUUUUCUAAUGUCCAUGCAUAUUGAUGUCGAGAUGAUCAAUUUGAGGAUAUUUGGGCAUUAAAACAACCUCUUCUAGUGAAAUUUUUAAGGUAGGCUCUAAUUUGAUUGUUUAGAGCCUCAGCUUUAUAUAAACUUUUCCAUAUAAAUAUUAUAUAUAAUAGUAAUAUAAUAUGAAAUAUUUAUUUUUUAUAUAUAAUCUAGUAUAUAUAUAUGAGAAAGUCUGAAGUCAACCUGCUAGCUGGCAACUACAAUGAAAGACUAAUGGCCUAGAUUAAAUAUAAGCCGAUCUAAUAUUCACGAUUGCAUUUCGCAUUUGAAUUUGAAUUUUGUUUUACAGAUCCAAAGCACUUGAAAUUUAUAACGUCUAUUGUUAAAAUAU
rnacentral:lncRNA from 1 species